CCCGGGCGUCACCGACCACCUGACCGCGACCUGUGCGCUCCGCCACGUCGGCGCGGGCGGCGGCGCCGGGCCGGAGUCCUGAAGGUCGGAAAGGCCAGGGAGGGGCUGAAAAGGGAAGGGAAGGGGACGCCGAGGCUGGGCAAGCAGCUGCGAGUCGGUGGCGGUUGCACUUCGCUCACAAGUUUGUGACGCCGAAAGUUUCCUCCCAGGCUUCUGGCCUCGCGACUGCCCCUUUCUCCGCCCCUGUGCACCUGCUCGAACGGAAAACACUCUUUGCAAGGCAUCCUCUGUCUUUAUUUGCUGAGCGUGGCAGCCCCAGGGCGAGCCUGUCUCGCUGGCUGGUCAGACCAGCAGCACAGCAGAGCACAGUGUGGAAGUGGUCACCGUCCAGGAGAAAGACAGGCCAUCCCUGCCCAGACUGGCACAGUUCAAAGAGAUGUGCUUGGAAUUGAAUCCAGGAUGUUGCUCUUGCCAGGCAAGGGAUAUUGCAAGUGAGCUACAUGCCCAGACCUGGCUUUGAGUCAGUGUCUUACAAACAAUUUCACUGGCCCGGGGAUAAAGGUUAGCUUUCCUAAGUAUCAGUGUUCCUCCUGCACAGACAGGGCGGGAGAACAGCAAGCGCAGGGUCGGUGCUGAACAGCCGCACACGCUACUGCUCAGCGGCUAUGCUGCAAGGCCAGAUACACAGCCAAGUCAGCACUGAAGGCCCUGAUUUGAGCCAUUACUGUCCUGGGUUUCUCACGGAUGCUCCUCUGGCUCAUGCCUCUCAUCUCUGAAAUCUUUGGUAGUCAUACUUUACGACAAAAACCCCAAGCAUGAAAAGUGUUUAAAACUUAUUCUGUUGACAUAAAACUUAUAUACCAUUAAAUUCA